UGUGUCCGAGCGGCGACGGGUGAGUAACACGUGAGCAACCUGCCCCCGACUCCGGGAUAAGCGGUGGAAACGCCGUCUAAUACCGGAUACGACACACCGCCUCAUGGCGGUGUGUGGAAAGUUUUUCGGUCGGGGAUGGGCUCGCGGCCUAUCAGCUUGUUGGUGGGGUAACGGCCUACCAAGGCGAUUACGGGUAGCCGGCCUGAGAGGGCGACCGGCCACACUGGGACUGAGACACGGCCCAGACUCCUGCGGGAGGCAGCAGUGGGGAAUAUUGCGCAAUGGGCGAAAGCCUGACGCAGCGACGCCGCGUGGGGGAUGACGGCCUUCGGGUUGUAAACCUCUUUUACCACCAACGCAGGCUCCCAGUUCUCUGGGGGUUGACGGUAGGUGGGGAAUAAGGACCGGCUAACUACGUGCCAGCAGCCGCGGUAAUACGUAGGGUCCGAGCGUUGUCCGGAAUUAUUGGGCGUAAAGAGCUCGUAGGCGGCGUGUCGCGUCUGCUGUGAAAGACCGGGGCUUAACUCCGGUUCUGCAGUGGAUACGGGCAUGCUAGAGGUAGGUAGGGGAGACUGGAAUUCCUGGUGUAGCGGUGAAAUGCGCAGAUAUCAGGAGGAACACCGGUGGCGAAGGCGGGUCUCUGGGCCUUACCUGACGCUGAGGAGCGAAAGCAUGGGGAGCGAACAGGAUUAGAUACCCUGGUAGUCCAUGCCGUAAACGUUGGGCGCUAGGUGUGGGGACUUUCCACGGGUUUCCGCGCCGCAGCUAACGCAUUAAGCGCCCCGCCUGGGGAGUACGGCCGCAAGGCUAAAACUCAAAGGAUGACGGGGCCGCACAGCGCGAGCAUGUU
rnacentral:rRNA from 2 species